AUUGAACGCUGGCGGAAUGCUUUACACAUGCAAGUCGAACGGCAGCACGGACUUCGGUCUGGUGGCGAGUGGCGAACGGGUGAGUAAUAUAUCGGAACGUGCCCAGUCGUGGGGGAUAACGUAGUGAAAAUUACGCUAAUACCGCAUACGAUCUACGGAUGAAAGCGGGGGAUCGCAAGACCUCGCGCGAUUGGAGCGGCCGAUAUCAGAUUAGGUAGUUGGUGGGGUAAAGGCUCACCAAGCCAACGAUCUGUAGCUGGUCUGAGAGGACGACCAGCCACACUGGGACUGAGACACGGCCCAGACUCCUACGGGAGGCAGCAGUGGGGAAUUUUGGACAAUGGACGCAAGUCUGAUCCAGCCAUUCCGCGUGCAGGACGAAGGCCUUCGGGUUGUAAACUGCUUUUGUACAGAACGAAAAGGUUUCUAUUAAUACUAGGAGCUCAUGACGGUACUGUAAGAAUAAGCACCGGCUAACUACGUGCCAGCAGCCGCAGUAAAAC
rnacentral:rRNA from 1 species